rfam:Desulfurispirillum indicum S5, complete genome.
GAAAGCCGGAUGCGGGAAAUCCGCAUGUCCGGUUUGAGGAGGGGGAGCAGGGUGAAACCUGCUCUCUACUCUAC